GUCUUAAAUGAUGAUAAAUUUUAUAUAUUUGUUUUUGAAUUAGCACCGGGUUCCAGAGCCGCUGGGCC
rnacentral:sRNA from 1 species